rnacentral:rRNA from 1 species
CCCUUAGAUGUUCUGGGCCGCACACGCGCUACACUGAAGGAGGCAGCGUGUACUCCUGGAUCGAAAGAUUUGGGUAACCCGCGAAUCUCCUUCGUGCUAGGGAUUGAGGUUUGCAAUUAUCCUUCAUGAACGAGGAAUUCCCAGUAAGUGCAAGUCAUAAGCUUGCGCUGACUACGUUCCUGCCCUUUGUACACACCGCCCGUCGCUACUACCGAUUGAAUGAUUUAGUGAGGACUUCGGACUGGGACCGAUGCGGCUUUCGGGCUGCGUCGGUAUUCUGGAAAGAUGUCCAAACUGUAUCAUUUAGAGGAAGUAAAAGUCGUANCA